rnacentral:precursor_RNA from 12 species
UUUUGAAUCUUUUGGGGCAGUCAGUGCCUCUGUAAACAUCCUUGACUGGAAGCUGGAAGGGCUGGAAGGAGCUUUCAGUCGGAUGUUUACAGCAGCAGGCUGCUGCUCUCAGCUCAGCAUUUU